rnacentral:ribozyme from 1 species
UAAUAAAAAGACAUAAUUUAGAAGAAUAUGAAAUAAAUUUAGGUCCAGCAUUUAUGCUUAUCUAUUCUACCGUGCCUCUUAUAUUUUUUCACUUCUUUUUUAUUUGUAUUCACUUGUU